UGUGAGGUAGCUCAGUCGGCAGAGCGGCGGUCUGUUAAACCGAAGGUCGUGGGUUCGAGUCCCACCCUCACAG
rnacentral:tRNA from 1 species